AUGUUUGCAGGUAUCCAGGUGGAAGUGCAGCUGGUGGAAUCCGGGGGAGGAUUGGUACAACCUGAACUAUCCCUGGGACUCUCCUGUGCAGCCUCAGCUUUCACCUUAAGUAGCUAUGGCAUGCACUGGAUCUGCCAGGCUCCAGGGAAGGAUCUGGAGUUGAUCACAGCUAUCAGUACUGAUGUUAGCACAUACUACAUGGACACCAUGAAGGGCCAGUUCACCAUUUCCAGAGACAACAGCAAGAAUAUGCUGAAUCUGCAAAUGAGCAGCCUGAGAACUGAGGACACAACCUUACAUUACUGUUAA